CAAUUACAUCAUCACUGUGAUAAUUAAUCGCAUCAAUUAUAAGUUAUCACGUACAUGUAGUACUCUGUUUACUAAAAAAAUACUGUUUACAAUAUUAUCAGGUAUGCUUUUUACGCAGGUACGCAUAAAACGAGGUAAACGUCGUAAUAUUUUAAAACGCUUUAUAUUGUACAGGGUGUUUGAGCGUUUCUGCGUAAUGGGUCUCUAGCAUUAAUACGUGCGCAUUAUCAUAACCGUCGUCGAAUCACUCGGGAUGAUCGAUAACACGCGUUUUUCUCGCUAUUAUCGAAAACCGGUCGGUGUUUGUUUUUUUUCCGGUCUCACUCUUGGAAUAUUUCGCGUGAGUAACAUCGAACUAAAUUCGUUUGUAUCGCAACAAAUAUAAUUUCGGAAAUUUCCUAUACCUCAGCGCUGUAUGCUCAUUUCGAAACGGUUUACCCGCAUGAACCUUUCAAAGGACGAACAUAUUUUUUCGACAUUUUUAUUUUAUCUAUCGAUG